GAUGAACGCUAGCUACAGGCUUAACACAUGCAAGUCGAGGGGUAACAAGAGAAAAGCUUGCUUUUCUUGUUGACGACCGGCGCACGGGUGAGUAACGCGUAUCCAACCUGCCUAUAACUAGGGAAUAACCUUGCGAAAGUAAGACUAAUACCCUAUGAUUUCCUUUGAUGACAUCAGAUUAGGGAUAAAGAUUUAUCGGUUAUAGAUGGGGAUGCGUCUGAUUAGCUUGUUGGCGGGGUAACGGCCCACCAAGGCAACGAUCAGUAGGGGUUCUGAGAGGAAGGUCCCCCACAGUGGAACUGAGACACGGUCCAAACUCCUACGGGAGGCAGCAGUGAGGAAUAUUGGUCAAUGGGCGGAAGCCUGAACCAGCCAAGUAGCGUGCAGGAUGACGGCCCUAUGGGUUGUAAACUGCUUUUAUACAGGAAUAAAGUUAGCCACGUGUGGUUAUUUGUAGGUACUGUAUGAAUAAGGACCGGCUAAUUCCGUGCCAGCCGCCGCGGUAA
rnacentral:rRNA from 1 species